AACGUUUUUAGACCACCUAGACACGAAUCUAGGGUUUUUGCUAACAAGCCUAGAAACAAUAAUUUUAGGCAACAUUCCAGGAAUGAGACUAGACAACCUAGAAACGAUGCUAGGUUCUUUAAUAAGUCUAGGAUUAAUAACUUAUUAUUUUAGGCAACCUAGAAAUAAUUCUAGGAUCGAGACUAGACAACCUAGAAAUGAUGCUAGGUUCUUAAACAAAUCUAGGAUUAUUAACUUUAGACCACCUAGAUACAAUUCUAGAAAUUGGAAUAAUGAGUCUAGAGUUAAUCGCUUUAAUUUGCCUAGAAAUAAUACUAGGACGUUUAUUGAUAAGUCUAGGAUGAAUCAUGCUAGAUCACCUAGAAAUGACUCUAGGAUUUUCAACGCAUCUAGGAAUGACUAUAGAUCACCUAGAACGUAUUUGGCACAACCUAGGCAUAGGCACAACCCGAAUGUUGUAUGACGUCUAGGAAUGACUUUAGAUCACCUAGAACGUUAUUGGCUCAACCGAGACAUAUGCACAACCCAAACGUGGUAUGCCAUUACUGCAAUCGCGUAGGACAUAUUGCUCCCGUUUGUUUUGCGAAACAUAGGGAUUUAUCUUUUGAUUAUAAUUAUUAUUUGCCUAACCCUCAAGGACCCACAAUGGUUUGGGUACCAAAGACCUCUCCGUAGGUAUUUUAUUUUUGCAGGUUUGCUUGAAGACUACAAUAUUGUAGUAGAUGCACCAAGCACGACACCUAAAUGCAUCAAGGGGAAUUUCGGUAAGCUAUUCAUUUUGAUAAAACCGAAAUGUGCAAAUAAUUAAUAUUGAAAUAUUUGUUGUUAUUAUUGAUAUGUGCCAGCUGUUGAUAUUAACAUAUGAGUUGUUAACUUGAUUCUAACUUUGAAAAAUGUUGAUGUGCUUAAUUGUAAUAUGAUAUGUGAGUUCAUUGUUGACUAUUCUUGUUAGUUCACAUGCUGAAAAUCUAUUUUUGAUUGAUUACUAGUAUCAAUUAUUAAAUGAUUGAUCCAUGUUUUGACGAAUGUUGAUUCUUUUAUUGAAUAAGCAUCUACUAGAAUCAUUCAUAGUUGAUUCAUGUUUUGGUAAUCUACUGCAAUCAGUAAUUAUGUUUAUUGUUGCAUAUUUUGAUAAAUGCUUCUCAAAUUUCGAUUAGCAUAUUUUGAAAUAUCUAUGUGAUAUGUUUUGUUGAUAUAAUUGAUAAAUUUGUUAUUGUUGCAUGUUUUGAUAAAUGUUUUUCAAAUAAACGAUUAGUAUAAUUUUUGAAAUAUCUAAUUGAUAUGUUUUGUUGGUAUAAUUGAUAAAUUUGUAGCAAUCUUCAUAUUGUAUGUUCCUCAAUAUCCUUCCUAUUCUUUUGUGAAUAUGGUAAAAGGAAUUAGCCUUAAUACAAUCUUCUUGCUAAAAGAAGAAAUGUUUUAGGCAAUUUGUUACAAGUAAGUGAAUGUCAUUACAUUCUAUCUUGCCUUACUUGAAGAGGAAUUUGUGCUUUGAAAGAAUUGAUUGCAUGAAUUUUAUUGAUGAUAUUCUCUUAACAAUAUCUAUUUGAUUUUCGAAAUUAUUUCCUAUUGAUAAUAUUAUCUGAAAAAAUUUGUUUAUGGUAAACGGAAGUAGCCUUCAACUUCUUGCCAAAAGAAGAAAUAUUUAGGCAAUUUAUUUCAAGUAAGAAGGAAUGUUGUUACAUUCUAUCUUGCCCUACUUGAGGAGGAAUUUGUGCUUAGAAAGAAUUGAUUGCAUGAAUUUUAUUGAUGAUAUUCUCCUAACAAUAUCUCUUGUAUUUCAAAAAUAAAUUUCUUGUUGAUGAUAUCAUUUCAAAAUAAUUCUUAUGGUGAUAAUAUUUUUGGUGUGAAUUUCGCAUAUUGAUUUUCGAAAAUAUUUUCUAUUGAUGAUAUUAGAAAUAUAUUUUUUUUUAAAUGAAUUUUGUGGUGAUAAUAUUUUUGAUGUUUUGAAUUUCGCACCUCAAAAUAAAUUUGUGCGUUAUUUUUGUUGAUGAUCUUUAUGUGGUUGAUGAUAAAAUCUUUGAUAUAUCAAAGUUAUUUUUAUUUGAUAAAAUAUUAUUUUGGAGCUGCUAAUAUGCUUGGCAUGAAGUAUAUAAUACAAUAACUAGCAAAAUUGUGAUGUCAAAUGGAGGAUGACACCAAAACAUACCGGGUAUGAUCGUUCCUUAUUGCCAGUAGAUUUGAUAUAACACUUUGCAAGUAUUGAUAUGCUAGACAUACAUCUUGUUCAUUUCAAAUAAGAUCAUGUUCUCAAAGGCGAUGUCGAAAUUGAGUAUUCAAUCGACUGACAUCUUCACCAAGCCUUUAGAUUAAGAGUUGUUCUUCCGUAUUCUUAGUGACCUCGGAGUUCUUGACUCUACGUUGAUCAAAUGCAUACAUUUAUGUUGCAUUCAUCUUUUGAAUAUUAUGUUUUUGCAGAGAUAUCCUCAUACAUAGUAUGUUGCAUUCAUCUUUUGAAUAUUAUGUUUUUGCAGAGAUAUCCUCAUAGAUAAGGGGAAUUUAUUUGUGAUUAAUAUUUAUAUAAUGCAUAUGUUUUGAUAAAAUGCAAUAUUUGAUUAUGUGCAUCAAUUGUGUUAAGUUUUGAUUUUAUAACAAUUGGUAUUCAUGUGCAUUCAUGUUUUAUAAAAUGUUUUCUUAAAAACGUUUUUCUAAUUCUGAAAAGUCAUUAUUUUUUACCAUAUGUUGAUGGCAUUGUCUCAUCUAUAAUCGAUUGUCAUAUAUCCAAAAUCGAUUAUCAUACUCCUAAAAUCAAUUGUCAUACUUCCAAAAUUGAUUGGCAUAUUUCCAUAAUCAAUUUUUCAGGACUUCAAAUAUUUUGGCCUUGUCCACAAUCGAUUGUUAAUAGGCACAAUUGAUUGUCCGAGCAUUUCUGAGUUUUUGAUAACUCUCUGUUUCUUGCCCAGUUUUUAAAAUCUGUCAACAGACACACAAUCGAUUGUUCCAUCUUAACAAUCGAUUGUCCAACGGUUCAAUUUCAAAAUUCUUACCGUUCUGAAUCCUGCAGUUAUCUUUAUUCGAUUGUCAGCUUUGUCAGUCAAAUUAACGGGCAGAUCACUAUUCAACAAUCGAUUGUUUCAGUACACAAUCGAUUGUCAAACGGUUACUUCUCAAAUAUGACCGUUUUUGAGUCUUCAAUUCAGCUUUAAUUUCAAUCCUUCUCCCCUCUCUAUAAAUAGGAGUUGUUAUCUUCUUCCUCAUCACCACAAAUCUUAUUUCAAGCUUCAUAUUCUCUAAGCUUUUGCAAAUUCAAGCCAAUUCAAGCUAUUCUUAUUAGAAUGCCGGGCCGUCAAUCUAAAAGAUCCCAUUCCGCUAGGCAAGGUGCUUCCACCUCUGCUGCUCCUUCUCAUGGGUACUAUCCAUAUCAAGAUGGUACAGUUUUAUUCUUCAAAAGCGAAAACAAGCUUAAUCGUUUUCUUACCAAAUUUGAAAAACGAGAUAUUCUUCCUCCCCAUUUUUCAACCGAAAAAUAUCUUGAAGCUUAUAGUCUUGCCACCAAUCUACUCCAAGAAAGUCAACUUCUUGACUUCCUACUUCUAUCUCAUGAAUUCAUUAAUACUACACUAAUUCGAGCCUUUUAUUCAAACCUUCAUGAGAAUGAUGAUGGUGACCUUGUCACUUUUAUCAAUGGAGUCAAAAUUGUUGUUUCGGAUGAAAAUCUCAAUGUCAUUUCCCAUCUUCCAAAUAAUGUUGACGACAUUCUCCAAUAUAUUGGAGAGGCUGGUGCUCUUUUUGAUGAAACCACUUUUCUUCGUCAAACCGGACUUACGUCCUAUGAUCCAAGACACUCUUCCCGUCGUCCUACAAUAACGGGAAUGGAUCUCAACUAUCGGUUGAUAUUUUAUUUCAUCACCCGAGUUCUUAAGCCUCGUAGGCACAGCCACACCACCAUAUCUCAAGAAGAUUCCAAGCUCAUGCAUGCUAUUGUUUCUGGAGCUAAGAUCAAUUGGUGCAAAUUAAUCAAGCUUCAUAUGCGUGAUGCUAUUGCAGAUGAUAAGCAUCUUCCUUAUGCUCUCCUUAUUAUGCAUUUUCUUGAAGCCGCCGGAUUCGUCACGGUAAAUGGUCCACUCAAAAAUCGGACCAAACACUGGGAAAUUUCAAAAUCCUCCUUUCACAGUGGUGGCGAACAUGACACUCAUCCUCCUCCUCCUACUCAACCUCGUCGUGCUCAAGAUCCAAAUAUGGAUAUUAUUAUAAAUCAUCUUACUUCUUUGACCACAUCUGUCAAUCGUAUUGAACAAAAAGUAGAUCGAUUGACUAAUGAAGUCCAUGGGUAUUUUGACCACGUCAAUUAUCCAUACGGUGCUCUUGUUCCAUUUGAGGCAGCGCCGGACACCAUGGCCGAAGAUGAUGAUAAUGUGGAAUAAACUUGUGUGUUAUGUUGUAUUUCUAUUAUUUCUAUGGCUUAUAUAUUUUUUUAAUGAAAUAUAUUUUUAUUUGAAAUAUUUCUCCAUUUACUCUUACAGUAGUCUUUCCUUCUUAUCUGUUUGUUUAUGUCAAAAGAGGGAAAUUGUGCAACUUGUGAUCUAACCUUUUUCUAACCUUUUUGUUAAUGUCAAAAGGGGGAAAAUUACGGGUAUAUGCAUAUCUAUCUUGAUGCAUAUUUUAUUUAAGAGGGAAGAUAUAUGCAUGUUUAUGAUGUUUAUGUUUAUGCAAGUCUCUAAAUAUUUGUUGCAUAAAUUUAGGGGGAAUCAUAAAUUAAGGGGGAACUCAAUAUCUUGAACUAUUAUGCUUAUUAUCAUAUCUUGAACUGUUAUUAUUAUGCAUAUCCCGAUACAGGUUUGCCAUUAUCAAAAAGGGGGAAAUUGUUGAAUCACGUUCUCGAACUAACGUGUAUUGAUUCAUGUAGGUUUUGAUAAAUGCCAAACCAAUGAGGAUGGAACAAUAACAGUCCAAGUACAGAAAGAGCAAGUACAAGUUCAAGAAUAGCAAAUGCAAUCAACUGUUGAGUCGCUUUAAAAUGUAAUCUUGACUCAACGACUUAUGUUUUGAUAAAUGCCAAACAUCGGUGAUGGAACAAUAACAGUCCAAGUACAAGAAGGACAGUACAAGUUCAAGAAUAGCAAAUGCAAUCAACUGUUGAGUCGCUUUAAAUUGUAAUCUUGACUCAACGACUUAUUUCUAAUAUUGGCUCUCACAUAAAAUGAUUUUUAUAAAAUCAUGCAUCAUUAAGUUUUAUAGAAAUAAGUUGCAUAUUAGCCAAAAUGAUUUUUAAACUCGUCUUGUGAUUUUUGAGUUUAACAAUCGAUUGUCAAAGGCAACAAUCAAUUGUGAAGAUAUUUUUACUUAGCUUUAAAAAUAUCGUCAUGAGGCAGUAAGUUUGUUGAAAAUCAUUUUUGAAGCCACAUUCGAUUUUCAUGGCUAACAAUCGAUUGUCAUAGUGUCAGACUUUCAAAAACAAUUUUUAAAGUCAAGAUUUGGUGGUUGGAAAGUUGUUGAAAAAUUAUUUUUAUAAAGUCCAAACGAAUUUAUUGAUCAGAAAAUUGUUCCUUCAAUCAAGGAUCUUGUUGUUGAAUUUUUAAAUACAAAAUCUGUGAUUUUCAAAUAUCUUGACCGAACCUUUUGAAAUUUGUCACCACAAUCGAUUGUCAAGUGACACAAUCGAUUGUUGUUGUUUAAAAAAUCCCAAACUGAUUUCUUCAAUUAUUUUCGUUCUUGAAAGUCAAGAUCUGGUUGGUGAAUAUUUAUUACAGAAUCUGAAUUAUUCAAAAUGUUGUCUGAAAUUGUUUGAAAAUCUGGACAACAAUCGAUUGUCACUAUGCAACAAUCGAUUGUCUUGGCCUAAAAUCAGAGAUUUGUGUUUUACAUCAAAGCAACGGUCAUUUACUCUUUAUCUCUAUAAAACCUUCUCUGAAAUGUUUUUUUAACACAACACAACUGAGCUGAAAAGAUUGAAUACUAUCCUUGAAAUUAUUUCAUAUCAUAUACAUUGUUUUUUGAGAGCCAAAAUUAUUGAUUAAGUAGUUGUGUUCUUGAGCUGAUAUUGUUGUACUCAUAAUCCACUCUAUUGAGAGAGUUAUUGUAAAGUGAGUAGUGAGUGUUUCUUUGUGAGCACUUGUAACAAGAAGGAGUGUUGUAUUUCUUC
rnacentral:lncRNA from 1 species